rnacentral:rRNA from 1 species
ACCAGACUCCUACGGGAGGCAGCAGUGAGGAAUAUUGGUCAAUGGCCGAGAGGCUGAACCAGCCAAGUCGCGUGAGGGAAGACGGCCCUACGGGUUGUAAACCUCUUUUGUCGGGGAGCAAAGCGAGUCACGUGUGACUCAUUGAGAGUACCCGAAGAAAAAGCAUCGGCUAACUCCGUGCCAGCAGCCGCGGUAAUACGGAGGAUGCGAGCGUUAUCCGGAUUUAUUGGGUUUAAAGGGUGCGCAGGCGGAAGAUCAAGUCAGCGGUAAAAUUGAGAGGCUCAACCUCUUCGAGCCGUUGAAACUGGGGGCCUUGAGUGGGCGAGAAGAAGGCGGAAUGCGUGGUGUAGCGGUGAAAUGCAUAGAUAUCACGCAGAACCCCGAUUGCGAAGGCAGCCUUCCGGCGCCCUACUGACGCUGAGGCACGAAAGUGCGGGGAUCGAACAGGAUUAGAUACCCGAGUAC